ensembl:lncRNA
CACAGGGUUCAAUUCUUGGACCGACUCUCUUCUCUGUAUACAUCAAUGAUGUCGCUGCUGGUGAGUCUCUGAUCCACCUCUACGCAGACGACACCAUUCUGUAUACUUCUGGCCCUUCUUUGGACACUGUGUUAACAACCCUCCAGGCAAGCUUCAAUGCCAUACAACUCACCUUCCGUGGCCUCCAAUUGCUCUUAUAUACAAGUAAAACUAAAUGCAUGCUCUUCAACCGAUCGCUGCCUGCACCUGCCCGCCUGUCCAACAUCACUACUCUGGACGGCUCUGACUUAGAAUACGUGGACAACUACAAAUACCUAGGUGUCUGGUUUGACUGUAAACUCUCCUUCCAGACCCACAUCAAACAUCUCCAAUCCAAAGUUAAAUCUAGAAUUGGCUUCCUAUUUCGCAACAAAGCAUCCUUCACUCAUGCUGCCAAACAUACCCUUGUAAAACUGACCAUCCUACCAAUCCUCGACUUCGGCGAUGUCAUUUACAAAAUAGCCUCCAAUACCCUACUGAACAAAUUGGAUGCAGUCUAUCACAGUGCAAUCCGUUUUGUCACCAAAGCCCCAUAUACUACCCACCAUUGCGACCUGUACGCUCUCGUUGGCUGGCCAUCGCUUCAUACUCAUCGCCAAACCCACUGGCUCCAUGUCAUCUACAAGACCCUGCUAGGUAAUACCCCCCUUAUCUCAGCUCGCUGGUCACCAUAGCAUCACCCACCUGUAGCACGCGCUCCAGCAGGUAUAUCUCUCUGGUCACCCCCCAAAACCAAUUUCUUUGGCCGCCUCUCCUUCCAGUUCUCUGCUGCCAAUGACUGGAAUGAACUACAAAAAUAUCUGAAACUGAAAACACUUAUCUCCCUCACUAGCUUUCAGCACCAACUGUCAGAGCAGCUCACAGAUUACUGCACCUGUACAUAGCCCACCUAUAAUUUAGCCCAAACAACUACCUCUUUCCCUACUGUAUUUAUUUUAUUUAUUUAUUUAUUUUGCUCCUUUGCACCCCAUUAUUUCUAUUUCUAAUUUGCACAUUCUUCCACUGCAAAUCUACCAUUGUAGAUUGUACCAGUGUUUUACUUUCUAUAUUGUAUUUACUUUGCCACCAUGGCCUUUUUUGCCUUUACCUCCCUUAUCUCACCUCAUUUGCUCACAUUGUAUAUAGACUUGUUUCUACUGUAUUAUUGACUGUAUGUUUGUUUUACUCCAUGUGUAACUCUGUGUCGUUGUAUCUGUCGAACUGCUUUGUUUUAUCUUGUCCAGGUCGCAAUUGUAAAUGAGAACUUGUUCUCAACUUGCCUUACCUGGUUAAAUAAAGGUGAAAUAAAUAAAUAAAAUAAAUACAUCCGCAGGUACAUCUCCAAUUGACUCAGCCUAUCAGAAACUUCUAAAGCCAUGACAUCAUUUUCUGGAAUUUUCCAAGCUAUUUGAAGGCACAGUGAACUUUGUGUAUGUAAUCUUCUGACCCACUGGAAUUGUGAUACAGUGAAUUAGGAGUGAAAUAAUCUGUCUGUAAACAAUUGUUGGAAAAAUUACUUGUGUCAUGCACAAAGUAGAUGUCCAAACCGACUUUCCAAAACUAUAGUUUGUUAACAAGACAUUUGUGGAGUGGUUGAAAAACAAGUUUUAAUGACUCCAACCUCAGUGUAUGUAAACUUCCGACUUCCCCAACUGUAUAUAGGGAAGAUAAUCAGGGAAGUGAUGGAGUCCAGGUGAGUCUGAUGACGCGGAGGUACAAGUAACGAUGGUAACAGGUGUGUGCUAUAACAAGCUGCCUGGUGACCUAGAGGCCGAGAGGGAGCACAUGUGACACUGUCUUUAUAUCUCCCCCUCUGUCUCUCCCUCUCCUUAUAUCUCUCUCCCUCUCUUUAUAUAUCUCUCCCUCUCUUUAUCUCUCUCAUUCUCUUUAUAUCUCCCUGUCUUUAUCUCUCUCUCCUUAUAUCUCUCUCCCUCUCUUUAGAUCUCCCUCUUUAUAUCUCACUGUCUUUAUCUCUCUCUCUGUAUCUCUCUCUCCUUCUCUUUAUCUCUCUCCCUCUUUUUAUCUCUCUCCCUCUCUUUAGAUCUCCCUCUUUAUAUCUCACUGUCUUUAUCUCUCUCUCUGUAUCUCUCUCUCCUUCUCUUUAUCUCUCUCCCUCUCUUCAUCUCUCUCCCUCUCUUCAUAUCUCUCUCCCUCUCUUUAUAUCUCCCUCCCUCUCUUUGUAUCUCUCUCCCUCCCUUUAUAUCUCUCUCUCUCUCUUUAUAUCCCCCUCUCUUUAUAUCUCACUCCCUCUCUUUAUAUCUCCCUCCCUCUCUUUGUAUCUCUCUCCCUCCCUUUAUAUCUCACUCCCUCUCUUCAUAUCUCUCUCCCUCUCUUUACAUCUCCCUCUCUUUAUAUCUCUCUCCCUCUCUUUAUAUCUCCCUCCCUCUCUUUGUAUCUCUCUCCCUCCCUUUAUAUCUCUCAUCCUCUCUUCAUAUCUCUCUCCCUCUCUUUACAUCUCCCUCUCUUUACAUCUCUCGCCCUCUCUUUAUAUCUCCCUCUCUUUAUCUCUCUCUCCCUCUCUUUAUAUCUCCCUCUCUUUAUCUCUGUCUCCCUCUCUUUAUAUCUCUCUCCCUCUCUUUAUAUCUCCCUCUCUUUAUAUCUCUCUCCCUCUCUUUAUCUCUCUCUCCCUCUCUUUAUAUCUCCCUCUCUUUAUAUCUCUCUCCCUCUCUUUAUAUCUCCCUCUCUUCAUCUCUCUCCCUCCCUUUAUAUCUCCCUCCCUCUCUUUAUAUCUCUAUCCCUCUCU